ensembl:lncRNA
CCAUGGUCACACCACUAGUAAGUGUCUGAGGCCAGAUUUGAACUCAUGAAAAUGAGUCUUUCUGAUUCCAAGCUUGACCCGGGCUGGGCCCUUCAGGUACGCCUCCUCCCCUGGGAGCUGGGCUUCGGACGUCUCCGGACCCACCCUGGGGGAAGGGUGGGCUCAAGGACGUCCGAAGCCCAGCUCCCAGGGGAGGAGGCGUACCUGAAGGGCCCAGCCCGGGUCAAGUGGCGCCCGAACGGGGACUUGAGAUAGAAGUUCCUCUUCGGGGACCCCGCCAGGGUUAUCUAUUUGUGUCUCCACAGAAUGGAGAAGGUCGCUGGGUUCCCGUCCGCUGGGUUCGAGAACUGGCGACAGGAGCGGAUGCCGAGAAGGUGGCGAAGCGAGGACGCCGCGGAUGUCAACCCAGAAGGCUGAAGAGGGAGAAUAAGAAGCGGAUCUCUCACUGUGUUUUUUCUUUAGCCUUUCUUAGUCUUGGCCUUGGGUGGGGAUUACCCGUUGGCGCCGAAGGGCGUUUGGCGAAACACCUGGUUGCACAGCUAAAUCACACUGCUAAGCCCUGGAAUAAUCUUAACCAGGAGUAUACCUAUUGGGCACUAGUACGACACUUCCCCCAACCACGUCCAGUUACUUGGAAUGGGGAUCCUGUUCCCCUAAUUGUGGUUUCCAAUGCAUCACUUCUUAUGGGCGAAGGGGUGGGACGGCCAGUUAUUUCCCAUCUUCAAAAUAAGACCAUUAUUAUGAGGAGUCCCACACUACCCAUUUGCCUCAGCAAAGGUACCCAUGCCGGUUGUGCUCGAGUAGAAAAUGAUACUAUCACUGAGUUACCGCAUGGACCCCACGGUUGGAUAGGGAAAGGGGAUCAUUUACACUUUUAUGUAUUGCAACAUCAGCAUAGUACUAUUAGCGGGUUUUUUCCCUCUCCACUCCCUCUUUGCACCCCUUCCCCUAACAUGUUUGCAGGCUUCCAAGUCUGUUCUACAGGGCAUCAAGUAGGUGGCGAAAACGUGAAUGGGACUCAACUCUACUUUCUGGAUGGACAACCGGGUCCUUGGUUUGCGGCCCCGGUACCCCAUGUGAGAAGCCCUCGAGGAGUUAUAGCCCAUGUAUAUCUGUGGAAACUGGCUGCUGCCUUUGGCCCCUUGAUCCACUUCACAGAUAACAGUGCACCUCUAUCUGACAACAGCACUCUUCGGAACUGGUGGUGGGACUUGUUAUUUUCAGCAGGGCGUUCUUGCCAUUGAUUCUUUGAUUAAGAACUUGACUGACUUUGAGCAAAUAGAAGAUUGCCUUGGUCAAUUGGACAUUAUUUUGGAGCAUAUUCGCAAUGUCACCCGUCAAACAAGGGAUAAUCUCUUCCCUGAUUCCCCUUUCGAUCAAUUUUUCAACUGGUUACAUAACCUGGGAUCUUCGCAAUUCCUUCUUUGGCUCAUUUAUGGUGCAGGCUUCCUGAUCCUUAUCUGCUUUAUGGCCCCUUGCCUUUUCUUUUGUUGGCUCCGUGUGCUGCGACGCUCUCUUGAGAACGUCAAAGCCGACCUCUCCCUCCCUAAGAAAAACCCUGUCUUUGUUUAAACAAAAAGGGGGAAUUGACAGGGGCGUCCUGGACCCUGGCUUCCUAGGAAGGGCGUGGAAGACCCUGACCGCCUCAGAUGACGGUUACGAGGAGGCUCCGCCUCUAGGGUAGAACAGGGGAGGGGCGCAGAGUCUUACGAGGCUCGGGAGGAGGGUCCUUGAAGUGUAUAUAACGGGCUGAGAACAAAGGAUCGGGGGGAUCCUCCACAAUAAAGAGCAUACACCACACUCGCGUACUGUCUGG